rnacentral:rRNA from 1 species
UACAGAGGUGGCAAGCGUUGUUCGGAAUUACUGGGCGUAAAGGGCGCGUAGGUGGCCUUCUUAGUCAGACGUGAAAUCCCCGGGCUCAACCCGGGAACUGCGUCCGAUACUGGCAGGCUUGAAUCCGGGAGAGGGAUGCGGAAUUCCAGGUGUAGCGGUGAAAUGCGUAGAUAUCUGGAGGAACACCGGUGGCGAAGGCGGCAUCCUGGACCGGCAUUGACGCUGAGGCGCGAAAGCCAGGGGAGCAAACGGG